CCCAGUCGGCGUUUCACAAAUUUUACCCCCCAAAAAAGGAACUUUUCAAAAUCGUACUUCUUUGUGGUUAAGAUUAAUAAUGACGAAAACAGGACGUCCUUCAACUUCACAAUAAUCGCAAUCUGAAGCAGCGAAGCAGAUGAGAUUCAGGAACAAUGAAGUGAAAAAAAUCCCAGAUAAAUACCUAGAAAGCAGAUGGAUGAAGACGAAUCUGUACAUUAUUAAACUAGU